UACGGAGGAUGCGAGCGUUAUCCGGAUUUAUUGGGUUUAAAGGGUGCGUAGGCGGACUGUCAAGUCAGCGGUAAAAUUGAGAGGCUCAACCUCUUCCCGCCGUUGAAACUGGUGGUCUUGAGUGGAUGAGAAGUACGCGGAAUGCGUGGUGUAGCGGUGAAAUGCAUAGAUAUCACGCAGAACUCCGAAUGCGAAGGCAGCGUACCGGCAUCCAACUGACGCUGAGGCACGAAAGCGUGGGGAUCAAACAGG
rnacentral:rRNA from 1 species